UCUCUGAAGGUGGAGGAUGGGGGAAGAGAUGGAGUCUCACUAGGGAGGCUAACCAUUCACACUGAAAUCCUCCAGGUUCCCAUCCCACUAGGGCCCUCACUGAUAGAGGGGCUUCCACUACUGCCCCAGGCUCAUGUCAGACUUCUUUUACCUACCAGAUUACCAAUUCCAAUAUACCCUAUCAAAAUUCCAAGGUAUUCAAUAGGCCAAGGCCUCCUUCCUUCCCAUCAGGAAGUUCUAACCCUAGUCUAAUCACAGUCCCUCCUGCUUUGCUAAGAAGGAAUCCUGAAGACAGAUGGAAGCCUUGGGAAUCAAAUCCCUGGAAGGAGGAAAGACGAAGACCCACGAACCCCCUGGAAGUCAGAAAUCCACAUGGAGGGUACAAGCUCCUGACUCAGUCCAGACCCCUUCCCCCCCGCCUGGGGUCAGGGCUGGACAGGGAGGAGAAGCGAGCUCCUUGCAAGACGAGUUGGGGACAAGAUAGCUAGUGACCCUGGCCUUGGCUGACCCGAAAGAGGCCGAAACUUCGGGACAAGCGAGACUGAAGCCGAACCUGUAAUUUGAACUAUAUACCCUUAAAUUUCAUGCACUUU
rnacentral:lncRNA from 1 species